rnacentral:rRNA from 1 species
GAUAAGGACUUCCCCUUCGGGGGCAGAGUGACAGGUGGUGCAUGGUUGUCGUCAGUGGGGACGGGAGAUGUUGGGUUAAGUCCCGCAACGAGCGCAACCCUUGAUCUUAGUUGCCAGCAUUCAGUUGGGCACUCUAAGGUGACUGCCGGUGACAAACCGGAGGAAGGUGGGGAUGACGUCAAAUCAUCAUGCCCCUUAUGACCUGGGCUACACACGUGCUACAAUGGACAGAACAAAGGGCAGCGAAACCGCGAGGUUAAGCCAAUCCCACAAAUCUGUUCUCAGUUCGGAUCGCAGUCUGCAACUCGACUGCGUGAAGCUGGAAUCGCUAGUAAUCGCGGAUCAGCAUGCCGCGGUGAAUACGUUCCCGGGUCUUGUACACACCGA